AGAUACUGGCUAAAAUCUAUAUAAAUUCCUACAUUAAAGAAACAAGACACUUAAUUUGGUUCUCCAAAAAUAUACAUGCCUCAAAUUUCUUCUCCACUUAACAGUGAUAUCAAAAUAGUCCUUCAAUGAUUAGUAUUAUUAAUAACGCUGCCAGUUUCAUCCUUCCAACACCAAUUUGUGUUAAACACAGAAACUGUUUUAGAAGGGAAAAAUGAGUGUUUCUCUUAUUCAAUGAAAACUGAAAAAGGCCAAGUUUAUAGACUUAGCACUACAACUAACUGGCUACAAAAUAGGAACUAAGUAACACACUAACAGCACAUCCUAAACGUGUGCAAGAGGAUAGGAACAAACAAAAAAAAAAUCAGAAACAUAAAUAAGAUAAAACAGUGACUCAUUCAACAAUAAAGUGACUCAUUCAACAAUUUAAUCCUAUUUUAAUGAUAAAUUUUAUAGCAAUUUAUGUCAUUAAUCUCAAACAAACAGUGGACAUAGCAUAAAACUCAUUUA
rnacentral:lncRNA from 1 species